AGAGUUUGAUCCUGGCUCAGAACGAACGCUGGCGGCGUGGAUAAGACAUGCAAGUCGAGCGCUGAUUUCGGGGUAGCAAUAUUCCGGAGUCGGAGCGGCGCAAGGGUGCGUAACACGUGGGUAAUCUGCCAUGAAGUCUGGAAUAACUUGCUGAAAGGCGAGCUAAUACCGGAUGUGACCAUCGGGAGGCAUCUCCUGAUGGUUAAAGCUGGGGACCGUAAGGCCUGGCGCUUCCUGAUGAACCCGCGGCCUAUCAGCUAGUUGGUGAGGUAACGGCCCACCAAGGCUAAGACGGGUAGCUGGUCUGAGAGGACGACCAGCCACACUGGAACUGAGACACGGUCCAGACACCUACGGGUGGCAGCAGUCGAGAAUUUUUCACAAUGGGCGCAAGCCUGAUGGAGCGACGCCGCGUGGGGGAUGAAUGGCUUCGGCCCGUAAACCCCUGUCAUUCGCGAUCAAACCUCGUUAUUUAAAAGAUGACGAGCUGAUAGUAGCGGAAGAGGAAGGGACGGCUAACUCUGUGCCAGCAGCCGCGGUAAUACAGAGGUCCCGAGCGUUGUUCGGAUUCACUGGGCGUAAAGGGUGCGUAGGUGGUGAGGUAAGUCGGAUGUGAAAGCUCGGAGCUCAACUCCGAAAUGGCAUUGGAAACUACCUUGCUCGAGGGUUGGAGGGGGGACUGGAAUUCUCGGUGUAGCAGUGAAAUGCGUAGAUAUCGAGAGGAACACCAGUGGCGAAGGCGAGUCCCUGGACAACUCCUGACACUGAGGCACGAAAGCUAGGGGAGCAAACAGGAUUAGAUACCCUAGUAGUCC
rnacentral:rRNA from 1 species